AUUCUCUCAACGUUUGGAGAGAUCUCUGGGUUAAAGAUUAAUGAAGCCAAAUGUGUUAUCUACCCAAUAUAGUGCAAUGAUCUGAAUAUCUCUGAGUUGGUCCAACAGUUUGGAGGGCCGGGAGGCUCCUUUCCGUGCACUUAUUUGGGCCUUCCCCUCUCCACCCGCAAACUUAGACGGAUUGACCUUCAACCUUACUUGGAUAAAAGGGCUGCUAUGUUAAGAGCUUGGAAAGGAAGGCUUUUGCAACGAACCGGGAGGCUGGCUCUCAUCAAUUCGGUGGUCACUAGCACGGUGACCUUCUUUCUGACGAUCUUUGCACCUUACAAGUGGUUCAUAAUUAUUUUUUUGACAAACUAA
rnacentral:rRNA from 1 species